rnacentral:rRNA from 1 species
UACGUAUGGUGCAAGCGUUAUCCGGAAUUACUGGGCGUAAAGGGUGAGUAGGCGGUCAAUUAAGUCAUAUGUGAAAAUCCAGGGCUCAACCCUGGACGUGCAUAAGAAACUGGUAGACUGGAGUGCAGGAGAGGUAAGCGGAAUUCCUAGUGUAGCGGUGAAAUGCGUAGAUAUUAGGAAGAACACCAGUGGCGAAGGCGGCUUACUGGACUGUAACUGACACUGAGGAACGAAAGCCAGGGGAGCAAACGGG